UGCUCCUGUAAGAUAAGAGCGUCUGCUAAAUUACUCAAAUGUGCAGGUGACAGCUGCGUGAUGCGCGGUGUCUUUAAGGCAAUCCGGGCAUUUUCUUAUGGUUUGUGCUGAAUGACAUCAUUGAUAUUGUCAAUGGUGUAAUAACAGGCGAGCGAGAGGGGGAUAGCUGGAUUUCUGAGUUUACACCAAAAGAUCUGUAAUUCGCAGUGCAGACUAGACCAGACUAUACCGCGGGACGUUGACAUCUGGGUGAGGAAUGGUUGGUAAAGCUCCGCAGUCGUCUUUCUCUGUCCAUGGUGCUGUUUGAAUGAUAACGUCCUGAUCAGCACCUCUGUGGAAGGAAGGCAGCAGUCCCUGAAGAGCUUGAUCAAACGGGUGAGGAGGGGAGGAAUGGCACGGGUACACUGCUAAAUCGGGGAAUUCUGAUUGGGGUUUGUACAGGGACCUAAACAGGCGAGUCAGAAUCAGAAGGUAAAUCACCCAACUCAUGAUCCUUCAAAUCCAUGGGUAAAUCACCCAACUCAUGAUCCUUCAAAUCCAUAGUGAAUUGUGAAGACAAGCAGGAACCAUGGAGCUGAGAGUGGGAAACAAGUACCGCCUCGGCAGGAAGAUAGGAAGUGGCUCUUUUGGAGACAUUUACCUGGGUGUUAACAUUGCCACGGGUGAGGAGGUGGCCAUUAAGCUGGAAUGUGUGAAGACUAAACACCCACAACUCCACAUCGAGAGCAAGUUCUACAAGAUGAUGCAGGGAGGAGUGGGCAUCCCGUCCAUAAAGUGGUGUGGAGCAGAGGGAGACUACAACGUGAUGGUGAUGGAGCUGCUAGGCCCCAGUCUGGAGGACCUGUUCAACUUCUGCUCCCGCAAGUUCAGCCUCAAGACUGUCCUGCUGCUGGCUGACCAGAUGAUCAGCCGGAUUGAGUACAUCCACUCUAAGAACUUCAUCCACAGAGAUGUGAAGCCUGACAACUUCCUGAUGGGCCUGGGCAAGAAGGGCAACCUGGUGUACAUCAUCGACUUUGGCCUGGCCAAGAAGUACCGCGACGCCCGCACACAUCAGCACAUCCCCUACCGCGAGAACAAGAACCUGACCGGCACCGCGCGCUACGCAUCCAUCAACACACACCUGGGGAUAGAACAGUCUCGUCGUGAUGACCUGGAGUCUCUGGGUUAUGUCCUGAUGUACUUCAACCUGGGCUCUCUGCCCUGGCAGGGCCUCAAGGCCGCCACCAAGAGGCAGAAGUACGAACGCAUCAGUGAGAAAAAGAUGUCCACCCCUAUCGAGGUGCUCUGCAAGGGAUACCCCUCUGAGUUCUCCACCUACCUGAACUUCUGUCGCUCUCUGCGGUUCGAUGACAAGCCAGACUACUCAUACUUGAGACAACUGUUCAGAAACUUGUUCCACAGACAGGGCUUCUCCUACGACUACGUCUUUGACUGGAACAUGCUUAAGUUUGGGGCCAGCAGGACAUCCGAGGAUGGGGAGCGGGAGAGGAGAGAGGCGGAUGAGAGGAUCGGGGGAGGACCUAGGGCACCCCGUGCCCUACCCCCGGGCGGCAACCCCCCUGGGGGAGUAGACAGGAUCCGAAAUGGCCCCAAUGCAGCAGCUUCUAACCCUGCCUCCAGAGGAGUCCCACAGUCAGGGAACCGGUCCCCGCAGGCUGUGUCCCGUGCGGAGCGAGAGAGGAAGGUGGCCAUGAGGCUCCACCGUGGCGCCCCCGCUAACAUCUCCUCCUCUGAUCUCACCGCACAGAUGGGCCAAUCACGCAUCGCCACAUCACAGGUCAGUGUGCCAUUUGAACACCUGGGGAAGUGAGCUGCUCCUCAGGCCCUCUGGACACUGGCAGCCAUGGUAGCAGGGUAUCAAAUACCUACUCAAUUACUUUUGAAAUUGUUGGAUUAAAAAACAUGAGUGGGUCAACGACAAUGAAGACGGAUUAAAGAAUGAAGACGGAUUAAAGAAUGAAGACGGAGAAUAAAAGAAGAGUAAGUUGCAAUGGAUGUGAGACGGGAACGCCUGUCCAAUAUGACUGUAGUUAACUGGGAGAAAAUAUGAAAAGAUGAAGGAUUGAGAAGUGAAAGACACUUUCUUGGCCUAGCCUUGCUUCCCAGGCUUGUGAGACCUUCGCCUCGGCUGGUGAAUGAGUCCUGGUUCACUCUCAUUAUGCUGGCUAUGUGAUCUGUGGGACCAUACACGUCUGUCAGAAGCUCAAUGCCCAAAAAAAGAUGUCAGUACAAAAUGGACAAAUUCUGAUUAUUCUAGCUGUUUUCAUUGCUGAGGUGGUGUUGUAUGGGCAAAUGUGUUGGUUAAAAACACACACAGUCGAAACCGUUUGUCUCACGUUGAAUGUCCAAUUUAUGACAGCUACAUUUCGAGCUAAGGUGUGUGUUUAUAAUAAUAAUAUCUGGGAAUAUUACAGAGGGUCAAGUAGUCGGCAAGAAGAUCUGUCAAGAGGAAUUUGGGGGAAAUGGAAGAUAUGCAGAGAGAGCAAGCCAAGGACCGACCGCAAGUCAGAGGAGGAAGGGGAUGGUAGGAGACUUAGAGAUGGACUGUCACCCAUUUUCUCUUAACGUCUUCGCUGUUUAGGAAUAAUUCUUAGUAGAUUUUAACCAAGUGUUAAACAAGGACAUUUUGGUUCUACAACACUUCCUAUUAACAUUAUUGACACAUUUACAUUGAGGUUUCACUCCUCUUUGUGUAUGUGCUCACAGUAUUCUAUUGACAUUAGUCAACAGCAGAGAGCUAAUAAUAUCCCUUCAAAUGAUGGUGGACAAUGUAAUAAAGGACCUUAUCAUUAAGAGGUGGAGGCUUUGCAAGAAUAUUUUUGAGUAUUGGUCUUGGUUAUUAUGAUAAUAAGUCAACAAGCCUUAUUACUCUGAAGAUGUGAGAAGGAGCAUGGGAGAAAUGAAGAGGUUGGAUUUCAAAGUUAUAUGCUCAAUUGCUGUUAUUUUUUAUCUCUGUAAAUAUGUUUUUGUGUAAAGCCAGAAUGUGCUCGGUUGUUUUAAGAUGCCAAUGUAGUAAUAGAGAUGUAUUGACCUGCUGGAGGGUUUGGUUGGGUGGAGGGAGUCAGAUGAAAGGUAGGCCUAUGUCUGCAUGGGCCAGGGCAGAUCAUAAUAAAGACGGAAUGUGGUUGUGUGGGUUCUUUACCAUGCUUAGUCUUUAUUACAACAAUAUUAUGUAUACUUAUUUUUGUGUCCCUUUUCGUAAAGUUGUCUUGUUGCAUCUCAAACUCAACAGCACAGCAUCACCACAUAUAGUGUGCAUAAAUACAUAGAUAUAACGAUGUAAAUCACGUGCUAUAAUACACGAAUCAACACUUGCGGACACAGUUCAUGGGAUAGGCCUAAACUAUAGUUCAUACCGUUUAUAUUCAUGGGGGGUGGGGGGUGUUAUAUUUUGAGUCAAUAAAGAUAUGCACAACUUA